CCUACGGGGGGCAGCAGUGGGGAAUAUUGGGCAAUGGGCGCAAGCCUGACCCAGCAACGCCGCGUGAAGGAAGAAGGCUCUCGGGUUGUAAACCUCUUUUCUCAGGGACGAAGAAAGUGACACUACCUGAUGAAUAAGCCACGUCUAACUACGUGCCAGCAGCCGCGGUAAUACGGAGGUGGCAAGCGUUAUCCGGAUUUACUGGGUGUAAAGGGAGCGUAGGCGGGACUGCAAGUCAGAUGUGAAAACCAGGGGCUCAACCUGUGGACUGCAUUUGAAACUGUAGUUCUUGAGUACUGGAGAGGCAGACGGAAUUCCUAGUGUAGCGGUGAAAUGCGUAGAUAUUAGGAGGAACACCAGUGGCGAAGGCGGUCUGCUGGACUGCAACUGACGUUGAGGCGCGAAAGCGUGGGGAGCAAACAGGAUUAGAUACCCCAGUAGUC
rnacentral:rRNA from 1 species